GGCUGAGGGAUAUCUGGCUGUGACAUUGAUUGCCCCAUUAAUCAUCAUGGUGAUUUAGCUGAUCUGGCUAGCUAGGCUAGUGUCCUCUCCCUGCUCCAUGUUUCAUGUGGAUCCAUCCAGAAUCUGCUUGUGUAAAGGUUAAGAGGACAGGUCGUCAGUUAAAGAGAAGGAGUAGCUGUGCUCCCUGGCUAGAACUUCCAGACAAGAUCUCAAGAUUGAACUUUCUGAUGGAGGAAACUCCACUUUGGU
ensembl:misc_RNA 7SK 7SK RNA